rnacentral:rRNA from 1 species
AUUGAACGCUGGCGGCAUGCUUUACACAUGCAAGUCGAACGGCAGCGCGGGCUUCGGCCUGGCGGCGCGUGGCGAACGGGUGAGUAAUGCAUCUGAAUGUGCCCCGCAGUGGGGGAUAGCCCGGCGAAAGCCGGAUUAAUACCGCAUACGACCUGCGGCUGCAAGCGGGGGACCGAAAGGCCUCGCGCUAUUUGAGCGGCCGAUGUCGGACUGGCCAGCUUGUGGGGUAAAGGCUUACCAAGGCGACGAUCCGUAGCUGGUCUGAGAGGAGGACAAGCCACAUUGGAACUGGGCCGCGGCCCAGAGUCCUGCGAGAGGCAGCAGUGGGGAAUUUUGGACAAUGGGGGCAACCCUGAUCCAGCCAGGCCGCGUGCGGGAAGAAGGCCUUCGGUUUGUAAACCGCUUUUGUGCGGGAAGAAAUCCUCUGGGCUAAUACCCCGGGGGGAUGACGGUACCGGAAGAAUAAGCACCGGCUAACUACGUG